rnacentral:rRNA from 1 species
AGCGAACGCUGGCGGCAGGCCUAACACAUGCAAGUCGAACGAACUCUUCGGAGUUAGUGGCGGACGGGUGAGUAACACGUGGGAACGUGCCUUUAGGUUCGGAAUAACUCAGGGAAACUUGUGCUAAUACCGAAUGUGCCCUUCGGGGGAAAGAUUUAUCGCCUUUAGAGCGGCCCGCGUCUGAUUAGCUUGUUGUUGGGGGAAUGGCCCACCAAGGCGACGAUCAGUAGCUGGUCUGAGAGGAUGACCAGCCACAUUGGGACUGAGACACGGCCCAAACUCCUACGGGAGGCAGCAGUGGGGAAUCUUGCGCAAUGGGCGAAAGCCUGACGCAGCCAUGCCGCGUGGAUGAUGAAGGUCUUAGGAUUGUAAAAUCCUUUCACCGGUGAAGAUAAUGACUGUAGCCGGAGAAGAAGCCCCGGCUAACUUCGUGCCAGCCGCCGCAGUAAAAC